rnacentral:tRNA from 1 species
GAUUGUUUGGUCGACUGGUUAAGGCGUUUAGGUGCUAACAAAAGCGAGAGUUCGAAUCUCACAAUCG